AACGAACGCUGGCGGCAGGCCUAACACAUGCAAGUCGAGCGAAGCCUUCGGGCUUAGCGGCGGACGGGUGAGUAACGCGUGGGAACGUGCCCUUUGGUACGGAAUAGCCCCGGGAAACUGGGAGUAAUACCGUAUGUGGUCGAGAGACGAAAGAUUUAUCGCCAAAGGAUCGGCCCGCGUUGGAUUAGGUAGUUGGUGGGGUAAUGGCCUACCAAGCCGACGAUCCAUAGCUGGUUUGAGAGGAUGAUCAGCCACACUGGGACUGAGGCAUGGCCCAGACUCCUACGGGAGGCAGCAGUGGGGAAUCUUAGACAAUGGGGGAAACCCUGAUCUAGCCAUGCCGCGUGAUCGAUGAAGGCCUUAGGGUUGUAAAGAUCUUUCAGUGGGGAAGAUAAUGACUGUACCCACAGAAGAAGCCCCGGCUAACUCCGUGCCAGCCGCCGCGGUAAUAC
rnacentral:rRNA from 1 species